GACGAACGCUGGCGGCGUGCUUAACACAUGCAAGUCGAACGAAGUGGCGAACGGGUGAGUAACGCGUAAUCAACCUGCCCUUCAGAGGGGGACCACAGUUGGAAACGACUGCUAAUACCGCAUACUGAAGGAGGGGAUUGCGUCUGAUUAGCUAGUUGGAGGGGUAACGGCCCACAAAGGCGAGUAUCAGUAGCCGGGUGUAGAGGAAUAACAGCCAAAAUGGGACUGAGACACGGCCCAGACUCCUCCGGGAGGCAGCAGUGGGGAAUCUUCCGCAAUGGACGAAAGUCUGACCGAGCAACGCCGCGUGAGUGAAGAAGGUUUUCGGAUCGUAAAACGCUGUUGUUAGAGAAGCGGUAUCUAACCAGAAAGCCACGGCUAACUACGUGCCAGCAGCCGCGGUAAUAC
rnacentral:rRNA from 1 species